AAUCAACGCUGGCGGCGUGCCUAACACAUGCAAGUCGAACGGGAAAGUGGAGCAAUCCAUGAGUAUAGUGGCGACCGGGUGAGUAACACGUGACUAACCUACCUUCAAGUGGGGGAUAACCUCGGGAAACCGGGGCUAAUACCGCAUAAUAUCCUUGUUAUGAGAAAGCAGGGAUCAAAGGAGCAAUUCGCUGGAAGAGGGGGUCGCGGCUGAUUAGCUAGUUGGUGGGGUAAUGGCCCACCAAGGCUUUGAUCGGUAGCCGGCCUGAGAGGGCGCACGGCCACACUGGAACUGAAACACGGUCCAGACUCCUACGGGAGGCAGCAGUGGGGAAUUUGCGCAAUGGGGGAAACCCUGACGCAGCAACGCCGCGUGGAGGAUGAA
rnacentral:rRNA from 1 species